ACUAAAAAAUUAAUGUAAUUUCUCGAAUUAGAGGUAGAGGCUACUAAUUCAAAUAAAAUAGUGGGAGAACCUUUAGACUAAAAUUCAUAUCUUUAGGCUUAAUCAAUUCAUAUACUAAUUAGGUUUUGAUUUUUCUUUUAUAGUUAUAGGUACCACCUUAUCACUCCGAUCACUAUUAGAUAGUGAUAAAUUGAUGGGAUAAAAUUUCGAUAGCUGGUAUCGAAAGCUCAAAAUAGUUUUGGAGUACAAAUGGAUUUUGUAUGUAUUG
rnacentral:lncRNA from 1 species